CUGGCUGGCAGAGCAUUGCCCUGGGGACCCGGGCACUGAGCAGAUAAUUAACACUCCUUUAUAGCAGAUGCAAUGGAUGUGGCAACAGUUCUGAUGCCUUAGCAAAGGCAGAAACGGCAGAAAGUGGUGUUCACCAGAAUGAGCUUUUGCCACUGCUGUGCUGACCAGUUCUGCAUGGGCCGUGACCAGCUUCUCAAGAGCUUGAGGAUGCCUCCCACCCUGGACAUGAGGAGCAGCUGCUUAGUGCCUCACCUCCAGCCGGGGUUUCUCUGCUGGGCUGUGCCGUGGGAUACCAAGAGACCACAUAGUCUCCAUAUAUGUGCAACCACAAGCGAGGGGGAGUUCCUGCCUGCGGUGCAAACCUUUGACCAACGGAGGACGAUCUAAGGGUCCCUGGUCACUCCCGAAUUACUCCCAUCAACUAAAGCCGCCAUCUACUGAUUACGUAUCCUUUGAAGGAAGCACAAUUAUUCUAAGAAUGAACCACCCGUUAACAAUUGGCAGAUAGCAGCAUACAUGCUGUAUUGACCGCUCGGUGGGAAAACACGCUCUUCAAUAGAAGAUCCCUUGGUCCACGCAGAUAGAUUGACACUGAAGUCCAAUCACCCUCUCCACAGUGCGGAACCUACAGGGAGGCGGAAGAGGGAAGAGGAGUUCUGGAGAGGACAGAGGGGCUUGGUCGUUUGACCCAUGCAGGUUGGCAGCAGGAAAUUAUCCUUGAUUGAUAAUCUUUGUGUAAAAUAGGUACGUUCUUAAGAGCUCCAUCUUCACACAGUAACACUGCUUGCUCCAGAGGCUCGUGACCUCCAGGUGCAACUUCAGUUGCUUCCUCCCAAAUCAUCAGCUUCUGACCCCAACAUGUUCUUUUCAGCUCA